AGUGAACGCUGGCGGCAGGCCUAACGCAUGCAAGUCGAACGGCAGCACAGGGGUAGCAAUACCCUGGGUGGCGAGUGGCGGACGGGUGAGGAAUACGUCGGAAUCUGCCUAUUUGUGGGGGAUAACGUAGGGAAACUUACGCUAAUACCGCAUACGACCUACGGGUGAAAGCGGAGGACCUUCGGGCUUCCCGCAGAUAGAUGAGCCGACGUCGGAUUAGCUAGUUGGCGGGGUAAAGGCCCACCAAGGCGACGAUCCGUAGCUGGUCUGAGAGGAUGAUCAGCCACACUGGAACUGAGACACGGUCAGACUCCUACGGGAGCAGCAGUGGGGAAUAUUGGACAAUGGGCGCAAGCCUG
rnacentral:rRNA from 1 species